rnacentral:rRNA from 1 species
GACGAACGCUGGCGGCGUGCCUAAUACAUGCAAGUAGAACGCUGAAGGAGGAGCUUGCUUCUCGGGAUGAGUUGCGAACGGGUGAGUAACGCGUAGGUAACCUGCCUGGUAGCUGGGGAUAACUAUUGGAAACGAUAUCUAAUACCGCAUAAUAUUUACUAUUGCAUGAUAGUCAGUUGAAAGGUGCAACUGCACCACUACCAUAUGGACCUGCGUUGUAUUAGCUAGUUGGUGAGGUAACGGCUCACCAAGGCGACGAUACAUAGCCGACCUGAGAGGGUGAUCGGCCACACUGGGACUGAGACACGGCCCAGACUCCUACGGGAUGCAGCAGUAGGGACUCUUCGGCAAUGGACGGCAGUCUGAACGAGCAACGCCGCGUGAGUGACGAAGGUUUUCGGAUCGUAAAGCUCUGUUGUAAGAGAAGAACGAGUGUGAGAGUGGAAAGCUCACACUGUGACGGUAUCUUACCAGAAAAGGACGGCUAACUACGUG